CCGACAAUUUCACAUUAAUAGAAAAUUUACAAACAUCUGGUAAAUCAUUGAUUCGACAAUUUCAAUCUACUUCUAAUUAAGAGAAUUUAAAAAUAUAUAUAUUCAAUUACACAUUGUGAACUUUUAGCUGGCAGAAUUACUAUGAUUACACAUUGCGUAGCACUAAAUGUGCAAGCCACAAGUAUUGACAACUCAUAUCUGCUUCAAUUGAACAAAUCCGAACUGCAAAUUCCAGGACCAACAUCUUUAUGGAAGACUAUUUGGGCGCCUGUAUUGCCAAUUGCUAAUCCCUCACAAUAUCCUCUUUACAUUUACAUCCAAAGGAGAAAUAUGGGGAUUUUGCGGCGUCAUUCUGGAUACUUCCGAAGUAUCAGUAGUUCUAACUGAUGAGCUCUUUCCAACAGGCAUCCCUUUCUUCAUCUGGCACACCCUCUCAUUGUCUGUAUCAAUUUAUACAAAAUUUUCAUUAUACAGCAAACAAUUCUAAGUUCACAUAUUCAGAAUUCUUGUAACAUAUGCUCAAAUACGAAAACCAACGCAUCUGAAUAAGUAAAAACUAAUUGUACCGUUAAUUUCGAGGCCGAUGAUUACGACAUCCGCCACUGUGUUGCAGAACGCCCUCCUCCUGUACCAAGAAUUAAUCCUUCAGUCACAUUAUGCAAGUUUAUAGAAUAUAUACAUAUAGAGAGAGACUUACAGUUUCUGGUAAAUCAUUGAUUCGAUGUAAAUUGACCUGAUCCAUGAUCUCCACGGAAAAGUAGUCUUUGUAUUUGACUCUCUUCUGAUUUAAGAAGAGAAGGAUGCUUUGAUUUUCCUCCAUUUUUUUGUUUUUCUCAAGAAGAAAGCCAAACAGAAGAAACCCUAACUAGCUUGGAAGAGCCGUUUUUCUCUAUGAGAGGUACUGCG
rnacentral:lncRNA from 1 species